CUGAACGCAAAGUUUACUGGAAGUUCCCAUGAUGCGUAUGUCAUUAGACAAUCAGGGAUAUGGCACAGAUUAAGAUCAAGUCAACGAGCAGACAUGUGGUUAUUGGGAGACCGUGGAUAUCCUUGCACCCCCUGGCUCAUGACUCCUUACCGUAAUCCCAGGCCAGGACCACAGACGGCAUUUAACUCCGCGCUUACUGCCACUAGGCAGCUGGUGGAGCGCACAAUUGGGGUCCUUAAAGGGCGGUUUCGUGUGCUCCACCGCACUGGUGGCGACAUCAUGUAUUCGCCGGAGAUGGCAAGUAAACUAGUGGUUCUGUGCGCAAUACUACACAAUAUCGCGGUAAGGAGUAGCGUAGAGCUUCCUCAGACAGAGGAAUUGCCUGAUGAGGAGCCAGGGGUUGUUCGACACUUCGGUGGGGGGAGUGUUACACGGAGGGGGAGCCAAGUCAGGGCAAGCAUUGUUGCUGAAUAUUUCAGCUGAAUGAUCACACAAACUGUGGACGAGAACAACGGCAGACCUCUCAGCCCCCUUCCCCUUCCCAGUCCCCCUCCCCUUCUCACUCCCCCUCCCCUUCUCACUCCCCCUCCCCUUCUCACUCCCCCUCCCCUUCGCAGUCCUCCUCAGCUUCCCAGUCCCCCUCAGCUACCCAGUCCCCCUCAGCUUCCCAGUCCCCCUCAGCUUCCCAGGCCCACUCCACUUUCCACUCCCCUUCUCACACCACCUCUCUAUCUCUUUCUGUGACCCCUUCUCCUCCUUCCCAUACCCCUUCUCCUUCAACUUCAAACUCACCUUCUCAGCCCCCCUCACCCUCUAU